GAUGAAGAACGUAGCGAAAUGCGAUAAGUAGUGUGAAUUGCAGAUUUCAGUGAAUCAUCGAGUCUUUGAACGCACAUUGCGCCCCCUGGUAUUCCGGGGGGCAUGCCUGUCCGAGCGUCAUUGCUGCCCUCAAGCACGGCUUGUGUGUUGGGCCCCGCCCCCCGGCUCCCGGGGGGCGGGCCCGAAAGGCAGCGGCGGCACCGCGUCCGGUCCUCGAGCGUAUGGGGCUUCGUCACCCGCUCCGUAGGCCCGGCCGGCGCCCGCCGGCGACCCCCCUCAAUCUUUUCAGGUUGACCUCGGAUCAGGUAGGGAUACCCGCUGAACUUAAGCAUAUCAAUAAGCGGAGGA
rnacentral:misc_RNA from 1 species